CACGUAGGGUGCGAGCGUUGUCCGGAAUUAUUGGGCGUAAAGAGCUCGUAGGCGGUGUGUCGCGUCGGCCGUGAAAACCUGCAGCUUAACUGUGGGCUUGCGGUCGAUACGGGCAUCACUGGAGUUCGGCAGGGGAGACUGGAAUUCCUGGUGUAGCGGUGAAAUGCGCAGAUAUCAGGAGGAACACCGGUGGCGGAAGGCGGGUCUCUGGGCCGAUACUGACGC
rnacentral:rRNA from 1 species